rnacentral:rRNA from 1 species
GACGAACGCUGGCGGCGUGCCUAAUACAUGCAAGUAGAACGCAGUUUCGAACGGGUGAGUAACGCGUAGGUAACUGCCUCCUAGCGGGGGAUAACUAUUGGAAACGCUAGCUCAUACCGCAUACUGUGAGAUGUACCUGCAUUGUAUGAGAUAGUUGGUGAGGUAAAGGACCACCAAGGCGACGGUACAUAGCCGGCCUGAGAGGGUGAUCGGCCACAUUGGGACUGAGACACGGCCCAGACUCCUACGGGAGGCAGCAGUAGGGAAUCUUCGGCAAUGGACGGAAGUCUGACGGAGCAACGCCGCGUGAGUGAAGAAGGUUUUCGGAUCGUAAAGCUCUGUUGUUAGAGAAGCGGUAACUAAACAGAAAGGGACGGCUAACUACGUGCCAGCAGCCGCGGUAAUAC